UUCGCUUUUGCAGAGGAGGACUUGAAGAGCUCGCGCUAGCACCUUAGCGUGCUGUUUGAUUCGGUUACAAUGACUGCGAGCUGUGGACCAGUCGUUUUAGUGCUUGUGGGAAAAUGGUAACGUAGUUCUGCCAAGUUCAGAGACGACAGCAGUCGAUAAAGCACCUCUUAACGACCCUGCAAACCAAUUCACAGAGUACAAUGUAUUGUGUUUUCUGCGGUGAACAGCUUGUGGAUGGUGGCCGCUUCUGUGCAUGUUGUGGCCGAAAUCGAGAAACGUCUUUGACAGAAGCCCAGAACGAAAACACACCGUCAUCCACUGUUGCUUCACAAGAGAAUUUAAUUGAGCAAUACUUUCAUGCAGGCCACGCGUACAAGGCUAUUGUGGAUUUACUGAAAGCUGAACAUGGCAUUUGUGUCAGUUUACGAACAGUAAAAUCUAGAUUAUCAAGCCUUGGUCUGUUCAGAAGAAAAUAUUCACAAUCUGAGGAUGUAAGAAGAGCUGUUGUACAAGAGUUGCAAGGACCAGGUCAACUUUUUGGAUAUCGCACAAUGUGGCAAGUACUUAAAAAUAAGUACAGACUAAAUGCUAAGAGAUCUGACGUAAUGAGACUACUGGCCAAGACGAACCCGUCAGGUACCGAAGCAAGAAGACGUAGGAGAUUAGCCCGCCGUACCUACCAUUCACUAGGCUCGAAUUAUACAUGGCAUGCGGAAGGCUAUGACAAGCGUAAACCUUUUGGUUUUGCUGUCAAGAUGGACUUGGCGGUACCAGACGAACCCCAAAAGAAAGUUUUCCGAGCAAGAAAAACCAUGAAAAUAAGUCAUCGGCAGCAACUGGAUUUCCUCCAUAAUUCCCAGUCCUCUUUCACACUCUGCUCUUCCUCUAGCUCUGCUUCCUCUUCCCCUGCCCCGCCCCCAUUAGUGAAAGGAAAACACCCAGAGGAGGGGCGAGCAAAGACUGAGAAAGUGCGAGAGGCUCACGCCAACCGCAGCGCAAAAGGGAAACAAUCUACCUCUCUUGUAACUCGUUCCUGCUCUCCCCAAACUUUGUCCCUCUCUUUGUCUCCCACCCCACCUCCCCAGACUCCAAGGCUGAGGUCGCGCAGUCUUCCCCCCUCAUCCCGAUCACUUCCUGCAAAGAGUGCGGGGAAAGAAAGUGAGGAGCAGGAAAGAAAGGGGGGAGAGGGAAACGUGUCCUCAUUGAUGAAGGGAGGCAAGACAAAGGAUGAAGUGAAGACAAAGGGAAGAGAGGCAAAGGGGAAUGAAGGAACUGCUGAAGAUAGAGAGCAUGACCUCCCUGAACCACAUGGCAAUCUCUCAUCAUCCCAGGAUUCUCCUCAGGACCGCACUGCCUCUCUGGUGUCGUCUCAGACAGCGGAGGGGAAGGACGAGGAGAAAAAGAUUGAGGCUGACAAAAACUCGAAAUCCGAGGAGACUGUGGCUAUGGAUACAGGCCCUGCUACCAUGGAGACCGAGGCACUUGAAGACAGCAAGCCCACCUCGGAGGACACCUCCAUCCCUGUUGUUAACACUACUAUGUCCUGCUGUUGUAGCUCCCCAUCCAAGCCAUCUAAGCCUGACCAAGAAGUGAAAGAGGGAUUUCUGGUCCUUAGUGAAGAAGAUGACAACCAAGAAGGGACGGAGAAGGCCAAAGACAAGGAACAGGUGGAAGAAAAUCAGGACGGAAAGAAGAUGGAGGUGGAAACGGAGAAAGGAGACAAGACAGAUGUCUCUCCCCUCUCUAACACCACCUCUCCUACAUCUCCAACUUCAGCAAGAGAGAGGAAGAGGCAGAAGGUAGAGGGGGAAGAGUUGGAGGCGCAGCUGGAGUUGAAAAUCAGAGCAAAUGCAAGCACUCGACUCAAACUGGAAAAGGUGGUUCAGCAGUUGGUUGAGGAGCAGCUCCGGGUCUUGCAGCUGAGUGUUUUUGACAGGACCUUGCAGGAGCUGAAAGAGAGGGUGGAGAAGAUGGACUGUGCCACAAAACACCAGCAAACUCUGAACACAUUACAGGCCAAGAUAGCUCGACUGGCCAAGAAAUUUGGUGCUGCCAACCAGGCCAAGGAGAAUAUCAGGAAACCACAGGAGAUGGAGAGUGACACAGCGCCUGAGAGAAAUGCCCAAGACUCCUAUCAUUCAUGCCAUUCCAUGCCUCUGGUGGAUGACCACAAUGCUGUUGGUUCAGCGAUACCCAAUGAGCAGAUGGAAAGUGACACAGCACCUGAGAGAAAUGCCCAAGACUCCUAUCACUCAGGCCAUUCCAUGCCUCUGGUGGAUGACCACAAUUCUGUUGCUCUGGACAUACCCAAUAAUCAGAUGGAAAGUGACACAGCACCUGAGAGAAAUGCCCAAGACUCCUAUCACUCAUGCCAUUACAUGGCUCUGGUGGAUGACCACAAUGCUGUUGGUUCAGAGAUACCCAAUGAGCAGAUGGAAAGUGACACAGCACCUGAAAGAAAUGCCCAAGACUCCUAUCACUCAGGCCAUUCCAUGGUUCUGGUGGAUGACCACAAUGCUGUUGGGUCAGCAAUACCCAAUGAGCAGAUAGAAAGUGACACAGCACCUGAGAGAAAUGCCCAAGAUUCCUAUCACUCUUGCCAUUCCAUGCCUCUGGUGGAUGACCACAAUUCUGUUGGUUCAGAGAUACCCAAUAAUCAGAGUUUGGAAUGGACUAACAUUCCUGCUUUGGGAUGUGUGCCUGAUUCCAUUGAAGACAGUGAUGGAGAAUAUGUCUGCGUACCUACACUGAGUAGGACUAAAAGCACCAUAAUGGAAAGUGACACAGCACCUGAAAGAAAUGCCCAAGACUCCUAUCACUCAGGCCAUUCCAUGGUUCUGGUGGAUGACCACAAUGCUGUUGGUUCAGCGAUACCCAAUGAGCAGAUGGAAAGUGACACAGCACCUGAGAGAAAUGCCCAAGACUCCUAUCACUCAUGCCUUAUCAUGCCUCUGGUGGAUGACCACAAUGCUGUUGGUUCAGAGAUACCCAAUGAGCAGAGUUUGGACUUGACUAACAUUCCUGAAUUGGGAUGUCUCCCUGAUUUCUCUGAAGACAGUGAUGGAGAAUAUGUUUGUGCACUUAAACUGAGAAGGACUAAAAGCAUCAUAAUGAAAGAGUCCAUUCCUGAAGAUUCAGAUGAACUAUUUCAUUCACACAGUGGAGAUGAUUAUAUCCCAGACUCCAGAGAGGACAGUGGGGACAGUAGUUCAGACAGCAGUACUUCCCUUAAAAUAUCAGAACAGAAACAUCAGUCACUCAUUGACAGACCUAUUCAACCCACUGGCCCUGUCCCUGACAGCACCACUGCAGUGGGAAUGGACCAAGACAGAAGCAGCGUUAGAACUGAAGUAAUGGGAGUACGGGAAAAACCCAGCACAAGCUCUGAGAAGAUUGAGGAUGAAGGAGUCAGCAGCAGUCAGGAUGGUUUUGAAUCAGAGGAAGGGACAGUAGUAGUCACUGCUGUCCAAAAAAAGUAUGAUGGGAGCAGAUUGUAUAACAAGAGACAUUACUGUCUGUACUGUUUUAAACCUUGUAGCAAGAUAGCAAGGCAUUUGGAACAUGUACAUUCCAGUGAAAGGGAAGUGGCCAAAGCAUGUAGCCUUCCAAAGGGUUCCAAGCAGAGAAGAAUUCAUUUUGAUUAUUUACGUAACAGAGGAAACUAUGUACAUAAUGCUGCUGUUUUGAAGUCAGGCAAGGGGGAACUGAUUCCUUGCAAACGACCACCUGAGGCAGCAAAGGGGAAUGACUUCUUGCAUUGUGCAUAUUGCCGGGGAUUAUUCACCAGAAAUGUCCUAUGGCGACAUGUGAAAACGUGUAAAUUAAGUCCUAAAAAUGUCACCAAAAAACCUGGAAAAAGUCGUGUCCAGUCCCUCUGUGCAUUCACACAGCCUGUACCCUCUUGUAUAAGUAAAACAUUAUGGAAGGUAUUAAGUAGCAUGAACCUUGAUGAAAUUGCAACUGCUGUCAGAAAUGACAGUUGCAUCAUUCAGAUUGGGGAACACUUGCUAAACAAAAGUGGGUCAUCUGCUAAGAGUCAGCAGUGCAUUAGACAGAAGUUGCGAGAACUAGGAAGACUGCUGAUUGGUGCCAAGAAGAUUACUUCCUUGAGGAGAAUGGAAGAUUUCAUAGAUCCAGAACGCUUCACGGAGACUGUCAAAGCAGUUAAAUUUACAUGUGGAUAUGACAGCGAAACACAUAAAUACAAAGUUUCAUCUCUGGCAACUAAACUUGGGAACAUCUUGGUAAAACUCAGCAAACUUUUAAAAGCUCAGGCUUUGAUUACCAAGAAUGAAGGACUGGUGCAGAAAGCCACUGACUUCCAAGAAGUCUAUAAAGCACGCUGGAACGAGUUGAUCUCCGCAACCGCGUCACAUAACACUGCAGAAACAAAGUGGAAUGCACCCACAGUGCUGCGCUUCACAGAAGAUGUGCAGAAACUACAUGCAUUUCUCAAUAAAAUGCAGGAUGAGUGUAUCAGCCAGUUGUCUGCAGAGGCCACUUCUAAAGCCUGGUCUGAUCUGGCAAAGGUGGCUAUGGCUCAAAUCAUUUUAUUCAACCGUCGUAGGGAGGGGGAGGUAUCCAGUAUGGCCUUAUCAUCUUUCUUAUCAAGGGACAACUCCAGUCUUCAUGAUGAUAUAGAAUGGGCACUCUCUGAAGUGGAAAAAAAACUUUGCAGACACUUCUCCAGAAUUGUCAUCAAGGGAAAAAGAGCACGCCCAGUGCCAAUUUUGCUGACUCCGAAAAUGCUGUGUGCAUUAGAGUCCCUAGUUGAGAAGAGGGAGACUUGUGGAGUGGUAAAAGACAACUGUUACAUGUUUGCCAGGCCAUCAGCAAUGUCGCAUUUCAGAGGUUCAGACUGCAUGCGCAUCUUUGCAAAGGCUUGUGGUGCUAAGAGUCCUGAUGCACUGACAUCCACAAAACUGCGGAAGCAUGCUGCAACCCUUUCAACUGUACUCAACAUGAGGGAUACUGAGAUCGACCAAUUAGCAAACCUCUUAGGGCAUGACAUAAGAAUCCGCCGUGAAUAUGAUUGCCUCUCCGAGAAGACCCUACAGCUUGCCAAAGUCAACAAAAUUUUAAUGGCAUUGGAACAAGGAAGGCUAGCAGAGUUCAAGGGCAAGAACUUGGAUCAGAUCAAUAUGGAUCCCAACGAGGAGGUUGGCGUAUGCAGUGAUGAGGAAGACGAGAGUGGAGAUGAGGGAAGUUGUGCAUUGGGACUUGAUGAUACAUCAGCGACAGAGGGGCUGCCACCACCAGACAGAGAGAUGAUGUUGCCAACAGACUGCAAAACUAUACCACCAACAGAUAGGGAGGUAUCCCCAGUGAUAAGACUCUUGAGGUCUCACUUCAAAGGUCAAAAAGCUACCCAGAAGAAGAGAAAAGCUUGGGAUGUUACAGAGGUGCAGGCGGUGGAGAGGCACAUGAAGAAUUUUAUUACUACUUGUCGUAUCCCAGGAAAGACGGAAUGUGAAAGGUGUUUAAGGACUGAGCCACUAGCUCUGAAGUACAGGAAUUGGCAGAGUGUUAAAUUCUAUGUUUACAACCGCAUUGUUGCUUACAAGAGAAGUUUACAAGCUUAAGGAUUGACAGGCAGUGCUUAAGACCAAAACUACAAUCAAAACAAACUGACUAAAUUAUCAAGAAAACCCUAGGCCAGCUGAAGCAGCUCCCAGUGCCUACUACAAUCCUAAGACCCCUCAUAAUGUCUACAUGCCCAUG